UGAGGAAUAUUGGUCAAUGGGCGGGAGCCUGAACCAGCCAAGUAGCGUGCAGGAAGACGGCCCUAUGGGUUGUAAACUGCUUUUAUGCGGGGAUAAAGGAGUCCACGUGUGGGCUUUUGCAGGUACCGCAUGAAUAAGGACCGGCUAAUUCCGUGCCAGCAGCCGCGGUAAUACGGAAGGUCCGGGCGUUAUCCGGAUUUAUUGGGUUUAAAGGGAGCGUAGGCCGCGUUUUAAGCGUGUUGUGAAAUGUAGGCGCCCAACGUCUGCAUCGCAGCGCGAACUGGAACGCUUGAGUACGCGCAACGUUGGCGGAAUUCGUCGUGUAGCGGUGAAAUGCUUAGAUAUGACGAAGAACUCCGAUUGCGAAGGCAGCUGACGGGAGCGGCACUGACGCUUAAGCUCGAAGGUGCGGGUAUCAAACAGGAUUAGAUACCCUGGUAGUCCGCACGGUAAACGAUGGAUGCUCGCUGUGUGCCUUUUGUGGUACGCGGCUAAGCGAAAGCGUUAAGCAUCCCACCUGGGGAGUACGCCGGCAACGGUGAAACUCAAAGGAAUUGACGGGGGCCCGCACAAGCGGAGGAACAUGUGGUUUAAUUCGAUGAUACGCGAGGAACCUUACCCGGGCUUGAACUGCCGGCGAACGAUCCAGAGAUGGUGAGGCCCCUCGGGGCGCCGGUGGAGGUGCUGCAUGGUUGUCGUCAGCUCGUGCCGUGAGGUGUCGGCUUAAGUGCCAUAACGAGCGCAACCCCUCUCCGUAGUUGCCAUCAGGUAGUGCUGGGCACUCUGCGGACACUGCCACCGCAAGGUGCGAGGAAGGUGGGGAUGACGUCAAAUCAGCACGGCCCUUACGUCCGGGGCUACACACGUGUUACAAUGGGGGGCACAGCGAGUCGGCCGCGC
rnacentral:rRNA from 1 species